UAGCAACUGCCACCGGGUAGUGUGAAAUGUAUUGCAUUCACUUGCACAUCGUUAGGUCUUUGAAGAUGUGUCAUGUGGAUGCUUAUUUUUU
rnacentral:ncRNA from 1 species